AUGUCGCCCCGUCGUGUGCGGCUACGCCCGGUGACUUGUCGAUCCCGAUUCGCGGCGAUCCACGACGCAGCAGUGAGCAGGACACGGCGGCGCCAUCGGCAUCGGCAUCGGCUGCUGAAACCUCAUACUUCUCCUGCAGCAGGUAGCGGGUCGAAGGCUUCAUCAACUGAAACAAAUGGUCUGGAGGAACUCCCAGAGGACAUCAUACAUCAUAUACAUUCUCUCUUGCCAAUACAAGAUGCUGCUCAUGCUGCCUGUGUGUCCCGUAGGUUUCGGCGUUCCUGGAGAAGCUAUUCCAGCCUCAUACUCAGUGAGCGUACACUUGGUUUGGACAGAAAAACUGAGGAAUGGAAAACCCAUCUCAUUGACAAAGUUGACAAAAUUCUUACAAACCAUUAUCACAAUGGGGUGAAGGUGAAGACACUUAAACUUGAUAUUGGCCCUUGCAGAGAUAUCAAAGCCUCCUACCUCGACAGGUGGCUCCGAAUCAUUAAACCUGGGAUCCAAGAAUUUAGCUUGCUGUUGCCUUUAGUCGUCAAUAAAAUCUACAGCUUCCCGUGUUCGGUUUUGUCUAAUGAGGCAGCUGCAAGUUCAAUUCAGUCUCUUAGCCUCUUUGGUUGUGCUUUUCAUCCCACAUCAAUACUUGGGCGGUUGAGAAGAUUGAAAAGUUUAAGUCUGCGUUAUGUCCACGUUACUGAGGAUGGAUUAGGGCACUUGCUGUCUAAAUCAUCCGCCCUAGAGUGGCUAGAGAUUGAAGCAUGUAGUGGGAUAAUAUGCUUGAAAAUACCUUGUACGCUGCAGCAGCUCAAGUUCCUCAGUGUUCAAAAAUGCGAGAUGGUGAAGGUGGUAGAGAUAGAUGCUCCGCGUCUUUGCUCUUUUCGCUAUUGUGGGACACCGGUCAUCUAUGUCCGAAAUUCUUCGCAACUUAAGAAUGUAGAUAUUUCACCUGUCAACCUGUCUGGUAUUCUCUCUUAUGCUCGCUUUAGCCUUCCGUCCAUCGCGCAAAAUGUUGAGAGCCUCACCCUGCUCGCCGGUCGUAUUGAGAAUGCCAACACUCCGAUGCUGCCGUCCAAGCUCCCCCACCUCAAGAACUUGAAAAUUUCUCUCAUUAAACCCUGGUCAUCUCCGAACUAUGAUGUCUUCUCUCUGGUUUCUUUUCUUGAUGCUUCUCCUGCCUUGGAAUCUUUCGUCCUACGCGUAGAGCAGGAUGCCAUGAUGCAUGACCCUGUUGUUGGAGACGACACUGAAUACCGGAGGCAAAAUCUCGAGUGCCGGAAUAACAGUCUCAGGAAGGUGAUGAUCACGGGCUUCUGUUCUGCCAAGAGCCUAGUUGAGCUCACAGUUCACAUCCUCGAGCGAACACAUUCACUCGAGCGCUUCACGCUCGACAUAACCUAUGGCUACGAUAGGAGAACUUGUAACAUCGCCAAAUUCCCAACUGCGAGAAUGAUUGGCCAAUGCUGGUCGUUGAGCAAGAGAGCUCUCGAGGAAGCUCAUAGAGCUGUGGAGACAGCGGAUAGAUACAUCAAGGGAAGAGUUCCCUCGUCCGUUCAAUUCGAGGUUCUGGGGCCUUGUCCUCGAUGCCAUAUUGGAAAGUAG
rnacentral:rRNA from 1 species